UGUCACACGAGUGAAUCAUCGAAUCUUUGAACGCAACUUGCACCGGGGCGACCCGGUAUGUCUGUUUGAGUAUUGUGUAAGAUAUGUGCACUUUGGUGUGCGAGAUGGGGCGCGUAUUGUGUACGGUCCUUAAAUGGAGAUGCGCUGCGGCCUAGUGCCGACGACAGCAGGCGAUGGUGAAGAGCAGGUGCCUUUGAUUGUCUUGCUGUUGCUGGAGUGCUGGGUAGUAGGGGGGUAUGUGUGCUGCAUGGAUGUCUAUGCAUGUCACUGUACUUGUGCUCAGGCACGCCUACUUUAGUCAGCGGCGCACAACUGCGAGCAGCUCACAAUGCUCGCAACACUUUUCCAAUCAAUCUCAAAUCAGACAAGAGUACCCGCUGAACUUAAGCAUAUCAAUAAGCGGAGG
rnacentral:rRNA from 1 species